AAUAUUGCACAAUGGGGGAAACCCUGAUGCAGCGACGCCGCGUGGAGGAAGAAGGUCUUCGGAUUGUAAACUCCUGUCAUUCGGGACGAAUAAUGACGGUACCGGAUGAGGAAGCCACGGCUAACUACGUGCCAGCAGCCGCGGUAAUACGUAGGUGGCGAGCGUUGUCCGGAAUUACUGGGCGUAAAGGGCGCGUAGGCGGUCUGCUAAGUCAGAUGUGAAAACCCCGGGCUCAACCUGGGGAUUGCAUUUGAAACUGGCAGACUAGAGUGUCGGAGAGGAAGGCGGAAUUCCUAGUGUAGCGGUGAAAUGCGUAGAUAUUAGGAGGAACACCAGUGGCGAAGGCGGCUUUCUGGACGAUAACUGACGCUGAGGCGCGAAAGCGUGGGGAGCAAACAGG
rnacentral:rRNA from 1 species